rnacentral:rRNA from 1 species
CCGAAAGGAUAGCUAAUACCGCAUACGAUCUGUGGAUGAAAGCAGGGGAUCUUCGGACCUUGUGCUAUUGGAAUGGCCGAUAUCUGAUUAGCUAGUUGGUAGGGUAAAAGCCUACCAAGGCGACGAUCAGUAGCUGGUCUGAGAGGACGACCAGCCACACUGGAACUGAGACACGGUCCAGACUCCUACGGGAGGCAGCAGUGGGGAAUUUUGGACAAUGGGGGCAACCCUGAUCCAGCAAUGCCGCGUGAGUGAAGAAGGCCCUCGGGUUGUAAAGCUCUUUUGUCAGGGAAGAAACGGAGUUCUCUAAUAUAGGAUUCUAAUGACGGUACCUGAAGAAUAAGCACCGGCUAACUACGUGCCAGCAGCCGCGGUAAUACGUAGGGUGCAAGCGUUAAUCGGAAUUACUGGGCGUAAAGCGUGCGCAGGCGGUUUUGUAAGUCUGAUGUGAAAUCCCCGGGCUCAACCUGGGAACUGCAUUGGAGACUGCAAGGCUAGAGUGUGUCAGAGGGGGGUAGAAUUCCACGUGUAGCAGUGAAAUGCGUAGAGAUGUGGAGGAAUACCGAUGGCGAAGGCAGCCCCCUGGGAUAACACUGACGCUCAUGCACGAAAGCGUGGGGAGCAAACAGGAUUAGAUACCCUGGUAGUCCACGCCCUAAACGAUGUCUACUAGUUGUCGGGACUUAAUUGUCUUGGUAACGCAGCUAACGCGUGAAGUAGACCGCCUGGGGAGUACGGUCGCAAGAUUAAAACUCAAAGGAAUUGACGGGGACCCGCACAAGCGGUGGAUGAUGUGGAUUAAUUCGAUGCAACGUGAAAAACCUUA